CCUACGGGUGGCAGCAGUGAGGAAUAUUGGUCAAUGGGCGCGAGCCUGAACCAGCCAAGUCGCGUGAGGGAAGACUGCCCUACGGGUUGUAAACCUCUUUUGCCGGGGCGCAACGGGCGCCACGUGUGGCUCCACUGAGAGUACCCGGAGAAAACGCAUCGUCUAACUCCGUGCCAGCAGCCGCGGUAAUACGGGGGGUGCGAACGUUAUCCGGAGUUAUUGGGUUUAAAGGGUGCGGAGGCGGAGCGUUAAGUCAGUGGUCAAAUUGAGGGGCUCAACCCCUUCCCGCCAUUGAAACUGGAGCUCUUGAGUGGAAGAGAAGUAUGCGGAAUGCGUGGUGUAGCGGUGAAAUGCAUAGAUAUCACGCAGAACCCCGAUUGCGAAGGCAGCAUGCCGGCUUCCUACUGACGCUGAAGCACGAAAGCGUGGGGAUCGAACAGGAUUAGAUACCCUAGUAGUC
rnacentral:rRNA from 1 species